CUCCGGCGGUACAGGAUGGACCCGCGUCUGAUUAGCUAGUUGGUAAGGUAAUGGCUUACCAAGGCAACGAUCAGUAGCCGACCUGUSAGGGUGAUCGGCCACACUGGAACUGACACGGGCCACACUCCUACGGGAGGCACUGUGGGGAAUAUUGCACAAUGGGCGAAAGCCUGAUGCAGCAACGCCGCGUGAGCGAUGAAGGCCUUCGGGUCGUAAAGCUCUGUCCUCAAGGAAGAUAAUGACGGUACUUGAGGAGGAAGCCCCGGCUAACUACGUGCCAGCAGCCGCGGUAAUACGUAGGGGGCUAGCGUUAUCCGGAAUUACUGGGCGUAAAGGGUGCGUAGGUGGUUUUUUAAUCAGAACUGAAAGGCUACGGCUCAACCCGUAGUAAGCUUUUUAAAUAAGAACUUGAGUGCACGAGAGGAGAGUAGAAUUCCUAGUGUAGCGGUUAAAUGCGUAGAUAUUAGGAUGAAUACCAGUGCGAAAGCUGCUCUCUGGACUGUAACUGACACUGASGCACAAAAACGUGGGGAGCAAACAAGGAUUAACAUACCCUGGUAGUCCACGCCGUAAACAAUGAA
rnacentral:rRNA from 1 species